rnacentral:rRNA from 1 species
CGGGUGCGGAACACGUACACAACCUUCCGGUGAGCGGGGGAUAGCCCAGAGAAAUUUGGAUUAAUACCCCAUACUAUAAUGAUCAGGCAUCUGGUUAUUAUCAAAGGCUUCGGCCGCUUAUUGAUGGGUGUGCGUCUGAUUAGGUAGUUGGCGGGGUAGAGGCCCACCAAGCCUACGAUCAGUAGCUGAUGUGAGAGCAUGAUCACGCCACACGGGCACUGAGACACGGGCCCGACUCCUACGGGAGGCAGCAGUAAGGAAUAUUGGACAAUGGACGCAAGUCUGAUCCAGCCAUGCCGCGUGAAGGAUGAAUGCCCUCUGGGUUGUAAACUUCUUUUACAGGGGAAGAAAGUUAUCUUUUUUAGGAUAUUUGACGGUACCCUAUGAAUAAGCACCGGCUAACUCCGUGCCAGCAGCCGCGGUAAUACGGAGGGUGCAAGCGUUAUCCGGAUUCACUGGGUUUAAAGGGUGCGUAGGCGGGUAUGUAAGUCAGUGGUGAAAUACCGGAGCUUAACUUCGGAACUGCCAUUGAUACUAUAUAUCUUGAAUAUUGUGGAGGUAAGCGGAAUAUGUCAUGUAGCGGUGAAAUGCUUAGAGAUGACAUAGAACACCGAUUGCGAAGGCAGCUUACUACGCAAAUAUUGACGCUGAGGCACGAAAGCGUGGGGAUCAAACAG